CAGCAGGAUCACAGUUACACAGGAGAGGUUGACCAUAUCAACAGUGGCCAGGUUAAGGAUGUAGGUCACAUAGGGGCUGCUCCAGACCUAACUGUCCCCUGAAACAAAGAAGAAUCUUUAAGAGAAGUCAGUCUCUCCACUUUAAUGCAUCUCCCAGACUGAGGUCCAGCCCAGCCCAACCCAUCCUAGAAGGCAGAAGAGGAAAGUCAGCUCAGACAACUGAAAAAGGACUAAUCUGCUUAUAGAUGGAGAGCUAACAGAAGUGGAGAGACAAAGACCUGUCCACGAGAAGUCUCAUGCCCCUUCCUUCACUCUGACACCUCCUUAACAUGCUCCUGAAAUGUCAGCAUCAUGAGACAUGAGCUACACAAUGAUGCAGUAUGGGAAUUAAGAGAAUCUGGAAUUGUGGAGCAGACUUCGCAAGGCUUCUCUGACCUCUGCCUCCCGCUCUGGGAUCUGUGAAACACACUGGGCUCUUCUUCUAGACCUCCCUUUUUGAAGCUCCUCCAAAGACCGUUUCAUCAUCUCUACUCAACAGUCUCCUCAGGAAAUUGCCUCUUCAGUAGGCAAAUGUCACUUGCCACAAACUUAUCUUUGGCAUGAGGAUAAGACAGUGCUAAGGUAGAACUGUCUGUACCUUCUUUGGGUUUACAUUGUGAUAACUGCAAGGAGAAAAAUAAAUUGGGCUGAGUGGAUAGAAAA
rnacentral:lncRNA from 1 species